rnacentral:siRNA from 1 species
CAUCACACCUGCAGUGUAGACACC